AGUUUACAGCAGUGGCAGUUAAGACUUUCUUUUAUAGGCUGGCAUAAGUUACAGCACUAUGGCAAUGCACCGCUCUCCUGUAAACUUCCUGUCUGCAAGUUGAUUCAUGCAGACCAUGCUGCCUCCCUGCCCUUUAGGUGAUGAAAUUACACCCUGGAAUUACUGGUCAAGCAGAGCACAUGAAAACUUUGCUUUGUGGUCUGACAAGACCAGUGGUUGUGAUUUCAAAUGAAGAGAUGGGAAUGCACUUCUCAAGAAGGCACCCAAAUCAUCACUCACCUUUCAGCACAUGUAUGAAGAUUUAGGUACAAGAGGUAUCUGAGUAGUGGUACUAAUCACACAGGCUGAAGAAAGGAAAGAAAGAUUCAACACAUUCAGAAUUAGAAAGUGAGCUGCAGAAGAGAACAUCUGCAAGAACCAAAUGUUUCAAAGAAAAGCUGCCCUCUUUGCCAUUUUGUAAAGAAAUAAAAAGAUCAGAAAUAGGAAGUGAUAACCUGUGUCGGGACCUCUGUACAUAUUUCAAAGCAAUCUUAAGUUGUUAAUGUCAAAGUAGAACCAAACACCAACAAAACAGGACUUCAAUUAAGACCGAACUCCAACACAUAAACAGAGAUAAUUCAGUUCAGACUAUCCCAGAGGAAAAGCAGAUUCAUAGAAAGGAGCAGACAUCCUAGAAAGUCACCAACCUGGAGAUACCUUUCAGACUGACUCUAAGAAACAUUUUGAAAUUACCAUGCAAUUUCUUCACCAUUGCUGUAGAAAGAAAAUCUGUGUGUGGCCUUCAAGGCAAAUGGAAAGAAGGGGACAGGGAAAUGUGGCUUCAGAAUCUUACAGUUCCUUCAGAGAGAUCAGUUGGUAUCUAAAG